CAUUUUGUCCAUAUUUAUAUGAGCUUUUAAAAUGAGUUGAUGGAACCAACGUUUAUUGGAAAAAGCGACCCAUAUUUACCUAUUUGAAAUAUGAGUGAUCCAACUCAAUAAAUAUGGAUUAAAUAGACUCCUUUCACAAAUAUAGGCUGAAAUUGCCACCCCUAAUUGCGACGGACUACACUUCAAGAGAGAUUUUAACUAUCCUCCCCGAAAAGAGACAAAAUCACCAUCUCGAUCCUAUGGGGAGUAUGGUUGUACCUCAUGUGGUAUCAAAAUGGACAUC
rnacentral:lncRNA from 1 species